rnacentral:lncRNA from 1 species
GCAUUUGGAAAUUAUAUGUUCAAGAUACAAGGCCAUCAUGCUCUAUUUUUGAGCUUUCGUUACAUUAUGGAAUUGAAACCUAAAUGUCUACAACAACAAAAAAACCUAAGGUUACUAAAAUGUUGAAACUUGCCAUCUUCGAGCCAUUCCAAGCUACCUUCAAGCCAUAUUUCUUCAUCACCAAAGAAAUUCAUCCUGCAACCAUGGUUCACUAGUAAGGACUUAAUGCUAAGCUUUAUCAUUAAGCCACCUUCUUCUCCAAUUUAACCUUCAAACAUGUCCAUUAUUAGCAAGAAUGACCUAGCAUUAAAAGAGACAAAAAAAUUUAAAAAAAGGAAAGAGAUCAAAAGUCAAUGCAAUGACAAAAUAACCAAGGCAGUGCAUUUUUGUAGUGUAAAGCAGUAAAAAAUCAAGCAAAAAAAAAACUGCAAAAAAUUCAAAAGAGUUCAAACAUCUCACCACAUGACCUAGUGCAAUCAACCUCACCAAUUUUAAAUCGGUUCACACAUCCCACUCAUUAUAAAAUUUGGGAGUUAUGAGGAAACAAAAUACGUGUGAGUUUCAUUGCAAUUUUCACUUGGCUCGUGUGGAAAUUCAGAUUUUUCUUCCUUUACUCCUGUGAAUUUUUUUUGAGAAAUACGUGAGCUGAAGAUUCGGAAUAAUUCCGUUGGAGAGGUUUGUUUGAAUCUCUGAUUUUAUGGGAUUGUUCUGUGAGUGGCUUGUGAAAUCAUCCUCUGCUGAAAAUGCUUUUUGGUGAUUGCUUGUACAUUC